UACGUAGGGUGCGAGCGUUGUCCGGAAUUAUUGGGCGUAAAGGGCUCGUAGGCGGUUUGUCGCGUCGGGAGUGAAAACUCAGGGCUUAACCCUGAGCCUGCUUCCGAUACGGGCAGACUAGAGGUAUGCAGGGGAGAACGGAAUUCCUGGUGUAGCGGUGAAAUGCGCAGAUAUCAGGAGGAACACCGGUGGCGAAGGCGGUUCUCUGGGCAUUUCCUGACGCUGAGGCACGAAAGCCAGGGGAGCAAACGGG
rnacentral:rRNA from 1 species